GACGAACGCUGGCGGCGUGCUUAACACAUGCAAGUCGAACGAUGAAGCUGGAGCUUGCUCCGGUGGAUUAGUGGCGAACGGGUGAGUAACACGUGAGCAAUCUGCCCUUCACUCUGGGAUAACUGCGGGAAACUGUAGCUAAUACCGGAUACGAUCCCUGGGGGCAUCCCUGGGGAUGGAAAGAAUUUCGGUGAAGGAUGAGCUCGCGGCCUAUCAGCUAGUUGGUGAGGUAAUGGCUCACCAAGGCGACGACGGGUAGCCGGCCUGAGAGGGUGACCGGCCACACUGGAACUGAGACACGGUCCAGACUCCUACGGGAGGCAGCAGUGGGGAAUAUUGCACAAUGGGCGAAAGCCUGAUGCAGCAACGCCGCGUGAGGGAUGAAGGCCUUCGGGUUGUAAACCUCUUUUAGCAGGGAAGAAGCGAAAGUGACGGUACCUGCAGAAAAAGCACCGGCUAACUACGUG
rnacentral:rRNA from 1 species